rnacentral:rRNA from 1 species
AGUGAACGCUGGCGGUAGGCCUAACACAUGCAAGUCGAACGGCAGCACAGGAUUGCUUGCUCUCUGGGUGGCGAGUGGCGGAAGGGUGUGGAAUACAUCGGAAUCUGCCCAGUGGUGGGGGCUAACGUAGGGAAACUUACGCUAAUACCGCAUACGACAUUCGGGUGAAAGAGGGGGAUCGCAAGACCUCCCGCGUUGUGAUGAGCCGAUGUCGCAUUAGCAAGUUGGCGAGGUAAUGGCCGACGAAGGCGAGGAUCCGUAGCUGGUCUGAGAGGAUGAUCAGCCACACUGGAACUGAGACACGGUCCAGACUCCUACGGGAGGAAGCAGUGGGGAAUUUUGGACAAUGGGCGCAAGCCAGAUCCAGCCAUACCGCGUGGGUGAAGAAGGCCUUCGGGUGGUAAAGCCCUUUUGUUGGGAAAGAAAUCUUUCAGGCUAAUACCCUGAGAGGAUGACGGUACCCAAAGAAUAAGCAUCGGCUAACUUCGUG